rnacentral:lncRNA from 1 species
AGAAAGAGCAAAAGGACCUGCUGUGUGUGGCUGGAGGUGGGGGGAGCUGUGGGGACCCUGAUAGUGACAGGCGAGGUAUAAAUAGCCUGGGCCCUGCGGCUCAUGUUCUGUCGGCUGCCUGUGACGAGGUGCUCAGGAAUUCCACUCUCCUAUUGGCAACCCCUUCUCCCUAUCUCUAGAACUCUCAUUCUCCCCAAGCCACCUUCAACUCAUGGCUAAAUCCACCCAUCAGGCACCCGUGCUGUCCAUACACUUGAGAGGCUGAGCUCUGCUGUGGAGAGAGGCCCCGCUCCUAGGACACGCAGCUGGGCCUCACAAGGGAACUGUGUAUGUACAAAGGCCGACUUCUGACAGCCAACCUGAUGUGCCAAGGGCUCAGGGUUCAGCAGUGCUGCCUCUGAAUCCCUGGUGAGUAAACUGAGACACAGAUCUGAGAAAGGAUGCAUUCCUCUUUGAGCUGCUGGGGAGGAGAAAGGGUUAAGGUGAGGUAGCUCGGAGCUGACAGCCCCUUUACAGACCCUAAUGGUCCACAGUCCUGUUUUGCAGGCAUUAUCUGAGGUCCCCCAGCCAGCUGAGCGCCUCUGUUCAGGUGGAGAGGCCGGAGGAAGCCAGGGAGGGGAGAAGGAACUCCCAGCGUAGCUUCCCUUGCUUUCCCUCUGACUCAAGAGCUCGCUCCAGGGGAGGUCAGUGUGCGGGUCCCAGGGGAUCAAGUGAAUGGUUGGCAGAGGAGAGGAGGGUACAGAGUGCCAAAGGAUGAUUCCCGUCACCCCCCGCAACCGUCCUCAGAAACCUGAGCCUGUUGCUCUCCAGGAUAAAUCGGGGCCUGACUCAGGCCCCAGCAGCCAGUGACACUCAGCCUGACCCAGGCGCGGGCUGGUGACUCAGCCCUCAAUAUAGCCCAUGAGCCCAGGCCCUGGGCCUGGCCAGCCAGGCUGGAACAGACCGUGCACAAUGCUGGGCCCGGCCUGCCAAGUAGGGCCCCCUCCCCGAGGAGCGCUGACAUGCUCCUCCCCAAGCCAGGCAGGGGCACACAGGGGGUUACAAGGGGUUUCAUCAGCUGAGUAUCUGGGCAGUGCUGGCUGGGGCCACAGGCUGUUUAUAGCCCCCUGACUCACCACCUGCUGACCUAUCUCAGGAGACCA